CCUCAUUAUGUCUAUCGGUACUACAAUUGGUCUUUGUGGAUUUGAUGAAUUCAUGUCCACAUUAGUGUUUGAUGGCAAAAUACUGACUGGAUGCUGACAGUAACUAAGGUUUUGAAGGCUAUUGCUCAUAAUGAAGUUCUACUCUCGAGUGGAGAAGUCAGAAAACAAAAGAGAUAACUACCCAAGAUACAUGCACAGGCAUAAGGGAGAAACCAGUAAAAAUGUUUCCCAACAUCAUGACGUACAAACAAGUUUUGGUACAAAUCUCGAAACACGAAUCCUGAAACAGUAAGUACAUAAAGCUUACAUUCCCCCCUUGUUUUCUCUUUUUCAUUCCAGGACUUUUUAUAAGGUCUGUAGCUAUUUGUCAAUGUCACAAAGGCAUCCUGACAAUUUUUAACUGUGACAAGUAGUAAUUGUUGUGAAUAAGACCAAGAUUUCUGUAUCUAAAUAUAUUCUGGUUCAGAUGUUCUUCGAGAAGACCUACCAGGAUUAAAUGUACUGGGCAUUAGUCAAAAGAUGGAACGCAGUGAUCUCAUUGGGAUAACCCCACUAAUAUAGCAGCAUAAAACACCAUUGCCCCUCAGGCUUACGAUGGAUUGGUAAAGCUUGAUAAGUGGGCCUUCUGAAGGUGCAUCGAGAUGUAUCAUCUGCAGAAAAGGCUUGCUUCGAAGAUGUUCAAAGACUUGUAGAAA
rnacentral:lncRNA from 1 species